GUGCUCGCUUCAGCAGCAUAUAUACUAAAAUUGGAACGAUACAGAGAAGAUUGGCGUGGCCCCUGCGCAAGGAUGGCACUCAAAUUCGUGAAGCGUUCCAUAUUAAA
rnacentral:snRNA from 1 species